CUGCAGAAACUCUGCAGGCAUUAGUUACGCCUGCAACUUUUGAAGGGAUUGUUACGCAGCUUGAAGAAAACAAUAAGAGAAGCAACGUACAACAACUUUAAUUGAUCAACGAGUAAGAAUCAAUAAACCAGGGGAAAUCUAGUGCUUUACAAGUCAACCUGAGCUGGAGGGAGAGUGGAUGCUAUCAAGAAUAAGGCUCAAACCAUCUUAAUAUGACCUUGGAACGGAGGACCCAUCAUCCUAAGAAGUCAGAUGGUGGAAAUCCUGGCAAUCAGACUAAGCGAUUAUAUAGUCUUCAUGACAAGCAUGAGGCCAAUUCUCGUGCAGUGUCAAAGGGUGCUUUAUGAUGAAGGUGCUGAAAUCCCAGGUAGCUAAAUUCAGUGAUAGCAGCAAAGCGCGCUUGGUUCAGCAUCAUAUAAUCAUCCAAAAGAAGGCGCGUAUCGAUAAGAAAAUUGAUCGUCUCAAUGACAAUGAUGAUGGUGUUAUGACUGAUAUCGUGACGCAACCAGAUUUAGAUAGUGGUGAAUUCCCGUGACAUACACUUGGUUCAGUUCCUUUGAUCUAGUACUAUGUGGUCAUUGAUGCACAGAUGUUAAGGCUGCGAUAUAAGGAAGCAAUUCUUCAAAACCAGAACGAGAUCAUCCAGCAACGUUCUGCUCCAUCCUUAUAUCUUCCCGAUGUACGCUCAUCUAGCUUCUCUGCUUUUGCUGCUACAACUUGUCUUACUUCACCGACGAGUUGGAACACUUCAGUGGUCACUACCCUUUGCUGUUACUCACCUGCAGUUAAUCACCACGGGAUAAUGUCCAGGUAAUGCGGAGGAGACGUCAUCUUUAAAAAUCGUCGCAAGUCUCCGUCGGAUGUUGCCCCUUCUGCUGGUGCGAACGAAACUCGGUGGAGUGAAUGGAUAAUGCGCCAACAAAAUACUUCUGGCAAUGGAAAGUGACCAUCACUGAAAAACGGAAAAUGACAAUCGCCACCGUCACCGAGACUCAUCAUCAAAGUGGAUCAUCGUAUUGUUGGAAUUAUUGCGUUUGUGUUAGUGUUAGUUAACCCGUUGUCUGCCACGCCUUUGUUCUCCCAGCACGGGCUGCGUGCGCUGGUCGGCCUCGUGGUUUUCAUGCCGAGGGGUCGGAGUGUCGCACCAGUCCAAAAUUUGCCGCAAGGCGCCUGUUAUCAGGCAAUGCACCAGUUCCCCCUUGUCGAUGCGGUGAUGGAUUCGUCUGUCACCGUGUCAGCCCGGACUUGUCAGCAAUGGCAAGUCCCACCUUGGUC